GGAUCGAUGAAGGGCUUAGCCAACCUUGUCUCUGCUCUGCUCCUGAAG
rnacentral:snoRNA from 14 species